rnacentral:rRNA from 1 species
GAUGAACGCUGGCGGCGUGCUUAACACAUGCAAGUCGAACGAAGCACUUUAUUUGAUUUCCUUCGGGACUGAUUAUUUUGUGACUGAGUGGCGGACGGGUGAGUAACGCGUGGGUAACCUGCCUUGUACAGGGGGAUAACAGUUGGAAACGGCUGCUAAUACCGCAUAAGCGCACAGCAUCGCAUGAUGCAGUGUGAAAAACUCCGGUGGUAUAAGAUGGACCCGCGUUGGAUUAGCUAGUUGGUGAGGUAACGGCCCACCAAGGCGACGAUCCAUAGCCGAACUGAGAGUGUGACCGGCCACAUUGGGACUGAGACACGGCCCAAACUCCUACGGGAGGCAGCAGUGGGGAAUAUUGCACAAUGGGCGAAAGCCUGAUGCAGCGACGCCGCGUGAGCGAAGAAGUAUUUCGGUAUGUAAAGCUCUAUCAGCAGGGAAGAUAAUGACGGUACCUGACUAAGAAGCACCGGCUAAAUACGUG